UACAGAGGUCCCAAGCGUUGUUCGGAUUCAUUGGGCGUAAAGGGUGCGUAGGCGGCGCGGAAAGUCAGGGGUGAAAUCCCGGAGCUCAACUCCGGAACUGCCCUUGAUACUCCCGCGCUUGAGAACUGGAGGGGACAUCGGAAUUCACGGUGGAGCAGUGAAAUGCGUGGAUAUCGUGAGGAACACUAGUGGCGAAGGCGGAUGUCUGGACAGUAUCUGACGCUGAGGCACGAAGGCCAGGGGAGCGAACGGG
rnacentral:rRNA from 1 species